UGGAUUGAAUUGGCAAAAUGCAGUGAGGAAUGGGUGUUUGACCAGGUGAGCAAGACACUUCCUUAAGGUAGCAUCAGUGUCACAUGAGCCAUUUGAGAGCUUGUUGGCACUUUAAUAUAUCCACGGAGUUAUUUUCAAUAAAUUUACAUAAUCCAAUAUGAGGAACAAAAGGUUAACUUAUUAAUUUAGUAAUAUAAUAAACAAUUUCUGGAAAUAUAAACCCUACCCACCAAAACGAAAUCCGAAGGAAAGAUUACUGGACACAGUGCACUAGCACAAAGACAACAAGACAAGAGGGAACACAAAAAUCCACCUUAAUGAGUAUGUACAAUAAACUACUGAGUUUGUUCAGUACUCUAAAUGGUCGUAAGUUAUUCUGGAGCUAAUAUAACAAAGAACUGAUGAUAAAUAUAGAAUGCUCAAUAUAGUUACAGUUAUAGGAAAAAAAUGAAGAACCCAAAACAGGCAUUUCUUUUUUUUUUUUUUUUUUUUUUGAGACGGAGUGUCACUCUGUCCCCCAGGCUGGAGUGCACGAUCUCAGAUCACUGCAACCUCGGCCUCCUGGGUUCAAGCGAUUCUCCUGUCUCAGCCUCCCAAGUAGCUGGGAUUACAGGCACUCACCACCACGCCCAGCUAAUACCUAUUGCAAUUUAAAAACAAAUUACAGCUAUAAGUAGAAAAUUUUUGUUAAAUUUAGUGUGGAUUUUUGUACCCAUUUUCUAUUUCAAGUAGAUUAACCCCUUAUAUUCUGCUAAAAUCAUACUUGUUGCCUAACACCCAGUUAACAAAGCAAAAAAAAAUCAGUUAAUUUAUAAAAACAAAAUGCUAAUUCUUAUUCUAUGUGAAUGUAUUUCAUAGAUUUUAAGGGGUUAAUCACCAAUUAGAAGACAUGCUGUGUCCACACUAUUUUAAGAUUAAACGUUAAUGGGAAUAUAUUAAUUCAAAUUAACAUGGUCAUGUAAAAUAUAUAACCCACUCAACCAUUUAAAAACUAGUGUGAACACUGCUCAAUUCUAGAAGAGACAAAGACAAAACAAACAAAACAGCCACACAAAGGACAAUAAAUGCCAGGCUCUGCAUCCAAAAUCCCUCCUUUAUCAAAUGGCAGAUGUGACACUGAGCUUUUGAAAACCUUGGUCAAAAAUCCUUCCGAUGUCUUGGCAGCAACCCCUGACAGGAUCAAUCCCCUCUGCUAGAAGGCUUUGGACCGGGCCUGAUAAGCUACAGGUGGGAAAAAACACACAAAAUACUUAACUUGCUGCAGAAAAGAUUCUGUAGCAAGGGUUAGAGCAUUCUGAACAUUUCAAGCUUAAAGUCAAUUAAAUGUUUACUUAAUGUUUAACUGUCAAACACAGUAUCAUAAAACAGAUCUGUCAUGUGUUUAACAGUUAUUUGGACAAUGUAAUCAUUUCCUUUAUUAAUUAAUUUUUGGUAUUAAAAAGGACCAUUAUGCAUUAAAGAGACUACCACACAAUGCGCAAGUAGUAACUCUCAUGAUUUACAAUUGUUCUUCCGGCAAAGCCUUCCUUAACCCCUGUACUAACUCCCCAAAGCAAGCUAUAGGCUUUAAAUGAUUUUAAGACACAGAGCACUGGGAGCUGCAGUGAGAGAGAAUACAUACCGUUAUUCUGCAGCAAGAAAGAAGCAAUCUUCAUAAUGAAGCUAAAGACAUGGUUUACUGCAGUUAUCUGCAGCAAGGAACACUAUCAGUGUUUCUACACUUUGGCACAUCCAACUUUUCAGCUCAGUGUCUUGAAGCAAAAUCUUUCCAUUUUGGACUGACCAUUUUCCUCAUCAUAAUAUUUAUGAAAUUCAGAACAAUAAUUCUAACUCAAGUCUGGGUCAGACAAAAAUAUAAUUUUGUUUCCUUUAGAAGGGAUAGGUUAUCAAAUAAUUUACUGCAAAUAUGACACUAUUCACUUUAGACUUUUACAACAUAAUAAAAUGGCUUGAUACUGUAUAAAUUUAAUUAAGUCUAAAUAUAACUGAACAAAAUGUAUUCUGAAAUAAAGUUAAAUGGUUAUCAUUUUACACUAAAUACAGCAACAUUUAUAAUGUAUCAUAUUAGUUUUAUCAAAUCCCAUAUGCUGUAUAUGACCUGACCAGAUUGACUCAGGAACUGUUUCUCCAGCAACACCCAUGGCCAGACCUUGAGUAGAAACUCACGUUCACAUAAGAAAACCCUUUACACAAAACUCAUUUAAGAUGCAAAGCUUAAGAUAUAAAUAUCAUCUGAUUAUGGUAUACAUGCAAAGUAUGUAAAAUUAGACAUAGCUCCCAAUGACAUUUUUGGUAAAAUGUUCUUUUCCUGGGUUGUGAAAAGCCCAGUGUCUUAAAAAAUUGCUUUGUUAUAAGCAAACAAAUUUAAAGAAACAGUAAUUGAGAGACUACUGAUGCUAUUUUAUACAAAUGAAUUUUAAUAUUAAGUAUGUAGUACCCUCUUCCUCCUCAACCUGUAUCACAAAGAAAUAUUAGUGUAGACUGUUAUUCCAUACUCAACAAGAUGUAUAAAAACAUGAAAGGAAACAAAGUAAAUUUUAUCUGACCCAUAAAACAACAGAACCAACAUACUGCAGACACUGAUCAUGCUUUUCAGCUUAAAAGCUUUUGAAGCUUUGAAAAUGUUACAGAAUAGUCCCUAAAGCAACAUUGCUGGCACCAGCAGGAUUUCAUAUUCUAUAGUUGUAAAUUAAGUUUAAAAACCCUGAAUUGUGCUGUGACUCACUAUCUACAUUUACACAGUUUAUUUUUCAGUAUCUUAAGUGUGAUAUUAGGGUCAAAUGUCCAAAUCCUCCUGCUUUAGGAUGUUCUGCAUUUAUGAAAGUGCUCCAAGCCAAAGAGCAACCUCAGAGAACUAGAAAUAUUUACCACAGGACAAGCCAAAUCCAUUAUUAUAUAUAUAUGUAUAAAAAUGCCUCUUAAAAAUGUGUUACGAAUACUUAGCCAAUUUUGUUUGUGAAAACUCUUGUCUUUUUUGUAAGACAAGGCAAGAGCAAAAACUUCUUAAUCCAACUUAAAGUUGUGUCCCCCUAGUCACUAGCAACAUUUUAAAACCAUUUUUUCAUGCAUUGACUAUGCCAGUAAAAAUAAUUUUGAAGUUUUUUUUCCAGAAAUCUGAGGUUAGCAAGAAAAGAAAGAAAUCAAGAAAAUCAAUCAUACCAUAGUGUUUUAUAUAAAAAUACAUCACUAAAAAGAGCAUUUACUCUGUGGGAAAUUAUCUUAGGCAAAACCGGUUGCUAAAUAAGUCAAAUCUAUCAAAUUCACGUGUAAUGCCAGCAUGUUGCCUUCUAGGGCUUAAUGCCAUCUUAAAGAGUAGAUAAAUGAAAAAAAAAG
rnacentral:lncRNA from 1 species